rnacentral:rRNA from 1 species
CAGUAGCCACGGUAAUACGGAGGGUGCAAGCGUUAUCCGGAUUUAUUGGGUUUAAAGGGUCCGUAGGCGGACUUAUAAGUCAGUGGUGAAAGCCUGUCGCUUAACGAUAGAACUGCCAUUGAUACUGUAAGUCUUGAGUAUAUUUGAGGUAGCUGGAAUAAGUAGUGUAGCGGUGAAAUGCAUAGAUAUUACUUAGAACACCAAUUGCGAAGGCAGGUUACCAAGAUAUAACUGACGCUGAGGGACGAAAGCGUGGGUGGCGAACAGGAUUAGAUACCCGCGUAGUCCCUGUCUCUUAUAC